rnacentral:rRNA from 1 species
GGACUACCGGGGUAUCUAAUCCCGUUUGCUCCCCUAGCUUUCGCGCCUCAGCGUCAGAAGAGGGCCAGCGAGCCGCCUUCGCCACCGGAGUUCCUGUGAAUAUCAACGCAUUUCACCGCUCCACUCACAGUUCCGCUCGCCCCUACCUCCCUCGAGGCCGUCAGUAUCUAAGGCAGUUCCACGGUUGAGCCGCGGGAUUUCACCCCAGACUUGACAGCCCGCCUACGCGCCCUUUAAGCCCAGUGAUUCCGAACAACGUUCGCACGGUUCGUCUUACCGCGGCUGCUGGCAC